rnacentral:rRNA from 1 species
AGAACGAACGCUGGCGGCAUGCCUAACACAUGCAAGUCGAACGAGACCUUCGGGUCUAGUGGCGCACGGGUGCGUAACGCGUGGGAACCUGCCCUAAGGUUCGGAAUAACUUCCCGAAAGGGAUGCUAAUACCGGAUGAUGUCUUCGGACCAAAGAUUUAUCGCCUUGGGAUGGGCCCGCGUUGGAUUAGCUAGUUGGUGGGGUAAAGCCUACCAAGGCGACGAUCCAUAGCUGGUCUGAGAGGAUGAUCAGCCACACUGGGACUGAGACACGGCCCAGACUCCUACGGGAGGCAGCAGUGGGGAAUAUUGGACAAUGGGCGAAAGCCUGAUCCAGCAAUGCCGCUGAGUGAUGAAGCCUUAGGGUGUAAAGCUCUUUACGUGGGAUGAUAAUGACAGUACCAGAGAAUAAGCUCCGGCUAACUCCGCGACCAGCAAGCCGAC